UGAAUUUUUUUCUAGCAUCUGCAUUUUUUUCGAACCUUAUCUUCGACUAGCUAUGAGAAUAAAAUUUAUAAUUCUAAUGCAUCGCCCAGAACUAAUAAUUAAUGCAGUCGGCCAUUGGCGCACAUUUGCUCAGCGUUAACAUUUCAAUGAACUUGUCUUGUAUUUUUGUGAUCUCUAUAGUUUUGCUUAUGCUCUGCUGCAAUGGGCCACCCUUUGCGGAGGCUAGAGGCUAUGGUGGCAAAGUUUUGGCCAAAAUGAUUUCCUUGUUUACAUCGAAGGGAGUGAGAAAAUUUACAGGCAGAACAUACAAGGAAACUUCUAAAGCAAUCGAUGAAGCUAGACUAAAAGGAUAGUCUGUGAUAAUAAUGGAUGAAGAAACAAUACACAAUGGCCACAAUGUAACAUAAAAAAAUGAAAAGAAAUCUAGGUAACGACAAAAGAUGUUAAUGGAAUGCUUAAAUAAUUACAAAUAUAAAGAAUUUAAACAUUUUA
rnacentral:sRNA from 1 species